GUUCCCAUGGCGCAGUGGUCACGGCGCUCGCCUUGCACGCGGGACACCCGGGUUCGAUUCCCGGCGGGGUCA
rfam:Asian citrus Psyllid, Diaphorina citri - Florida Strain, whole genome shotgun sequence.